rnacentral:rRNA from 1 species
GAUGAACGCUGGCGGCGUGCCUAAUACAUGCAAGUCGAGCGAACGGACGAGAAGCUUGCUUCUCUGAUGUUAGCGGCGGACGGGUGAGUAACACGUGGAUAACCUACCUAUAAGACUGGGAUAACUUCGGGAAACCGGAGCUAAUACCGGAUAAUAUUUUGAACCGCAUGGUUCAAAAGUGAAAGACGGUCUUGCUGUCACUUAUAGAUGGAUCCGCGCCGCAUUAGCUAGUUGGUAAGGUAACGGCUUACCAAGGCAACGAUGCAUAGCCGACCUGAGAGGGUGAUCGGCCACACUGGAACUGAGACACGGUCCAGACUCCUACGGGAGGCAGCAGUAGGGAAUCUUCCGCAAUGGGCGAAAGCCUGACGGAGCAACGCCGCGUGAGUGAUGAAGGUCUUCGGAUCGUAAAACUCUGUUAUUAGGGAAGAACAUAUGUGUAAGUAACUGUGCACAUCUUGACGGUACCUAAUCAGAAAGUCACGGCUAACUACGUG